ACAUGUACCACAUUUCAUUAGUGAAUUUUUCGUUGCUCCCUCGUCGGAUUAACUUCGGGAUUUGGGAUGGCAGCAAGUUUUUGGUCGAAUGGUGCCCGGUUAGCAUCUCUGCGGCAAAAUUGUCAAGUCACUAUAAGAGACAUCACUGCAGCAUAGACAGCAGUUUUAAAAGGUGCACUGGAUAACGUCUGCUUAGAACAAUAUGUUAGUUGGAGAAAUGUCAUUCAAAUAGUGAAUGGAAAUUAAAGAAAGGAGACAUCACAACAACUUGGUAGUUUCAAAAACUGCUUUGGAUAACAUCUGCCUUAACUAAUAUUGUAGGAGAAAUUUCAGUCAAACAAUGAAUGUAAAUCAAAGGAAUACACGGUUUUCUUCAUGGAACGGUAUAAGAAUGGAGUCCUCCAAAUGGCAUGGAAAGUUAGUUAAAAUCUUGUCAAGAAACUGAACAUACAAGGACAUUGAUGAGGUCGGAAAUGCUCUAAACCCAGUUCUGCAUGGAUAGGCACAGGAAUGAAGUCUUUCGCAGACCUGAAAAUAUUUCAAGAUACCAUGACUAAAUUACAGGAGGAAAAAACGUGCACAAGAUUACAGGAAAUAUGCCGGGAUAUUGCUGAAGCUGGAAAUGUAGCCCAUAAUGGAAAGACUACCUAUGCUGCAAGAAUGACGUCUUCUACAGAGUUGGCGAUUCAUCAAGACCCAAAGAUUAAAUAACAGGGAGUUUCAUGAGGACAGAAUAUGCAUGAACAUCCAGGAAAAUGCUCCAUAAUUUAUAGGCAGUGACCAGAGUAAUUUUUAUAGGAGGAAGUCCUGUACAACUGUAAACUACUUGUUGCCUGGAAUAUGAAGAGAUGCAGAGGAAUAUAUAUAGGUGGUCUGAAGUCAAGAGGUAGAUACGUUAGCAGGUUGUGAAAAUUUAAUUGAACUGAUAUCUGGUGUUACAUAAUAUAUAAUGUAACUUACAAGCCAGUCAAUUCUUUAACUUUAUUCUGUCAAAAUGUUAUUACUUAGACCCAUGCAAAGUAAUACCAGGUUUAUGGAAAGCUGAAGAUCAACUGCUAGUUGUUACAUAAUAGAUGUAACACUAGCUAUCAGAUCAAUUCCUUAACUUUUUAUAACCUGCUCACGUACCUACCUCAUAGUUCAGACCAUUUAGGUACUCAACUAAUUCUUCAAUUUACGUACUCCAUUAAGUAUUUUAUUUAGUUGUACAGACCUUUUCCUACAAUCACCCUGGUUGCCUAGUUAAAUUGUGAAGCACUUUUCUGGACUAUUAUGUUCUGCCCUCAGAAAUUCCCUAAAAUUUAAAAUCUUUUGGGCCAUGACAUGAUAUCAGCUAUGAGGAUAUUCUUUUGUCAUGAAAUGCCCAAUGUAGGAGAGAAUAUGGAAUAAGGGAAAUUAAAUACUCUUCACAUGGAAUGGUUAUUAAAAAUUACUAGGUAACAUACGUUCAUUUAUUUAUACUCCAUGCUUUAUUUAUACUCUCAGUACAGGUGUCUAAUUUCUUCGUUAUCUGAAACAUUCAUUGCUUGUUCUGGUGUUUCUCAACUCAGAAAGUCCUAAACAACAGGCUAAAUGAAAAAAUCCUAAACAACAGACUAAUUUUCAUUUAAGUACAAGUCAAAGAAGAUAGGGCAAGGGAAGAUUCUGAGAACAGUAAAUUGUUCUGAGAUUAAUGCUAGAGAGAACAUUGGCCACAAGAUACAUUACGAGGGUCUGUGCAAGACAUAUCUCUAAAGGUAAAACUACCAUGAUGUGUAAGGCAAGACCUAAAUAAAAAAUGAUGCAGAGCUU